AUUGAACGCUGGCGGCAGGCCUAACACAUGCAAGUCGAACGAGUGGCGGACGGGUGAGUAAUGACUGGGAAACUGCCUGAUGGAGGGGGAUAACUACUGGAACCGGUAGCUAAUACCGCAUUCCAGCAGCUGUGCCCAGAUGGGCUUAGCUAGUUGGUGGGGUAACGGCUCACCAAGGCGACGAUCCCUAGAUGGUCUGAGAGGAUGACCAGCCACACUGGAACUGAGACACGGUCCAGACUCCUACGGGAGGUAGCAGUGGGGAAUAUUGGACAAUGGGCGCAAGCCUGAUCCAGCCAUGCCGCGUGUGUGAAGAAGGUCUUCGGGUUGUAAAGUACUUUCAGUGGGGAGGCGUUACCAGCAGAAUAAGCACCGGCUAACUCCGUGCCAGCAGCCGCGGUAAUAC
rnacentral:rRNA from 1 species